CGUAGCUGAACGUCGCCGGCCCUGAGUCUACCAUACUUGGUUUCCAGAGUGUCAGUGACUAAGAGGAUGUCAAGAGUUGGGUGCUUUUACCCCAGCGGGGAUCGUACACGUAAAAGACUGUGCGGAGAAUGAUUUCUCUUCUUAUUUACUCACUUGGACGGAACUCGUCCAAGUGCGGCGCAAUUCGCGCGAGGUCUGUCUUGAUGAAUUCUCCGCGCAUUGCUGCUGAAAAGCUGCAGGUGAAAUCGACACGAUAUGGCAACGCGUCAAUGCCCGAACAAUCGCGCAGCAAUGCCACUGAAUGUAACACAAUUUGCGUGCGGUCACGGGUAUGUAGUUUCGAGCUGAAUAUUAUAAGCUCUCUCGCAGAAAUGCUGGGGGCCCGCGCGCGGUUCUUGGCAAACGAAAUAAUCGAACGGCAAAUAAUUAAUAUUUAACUGCAUUAUCCUCCCCGAAACUGACGCGGGCCGCGCAGUUGAGAUCCGCCACGGAUGUGCAAUGAGCGCUCGCUGUCGCAAUUAAUCAAUCGCAAUUAAUCAAUCGCCACUUCUCACGCGGGCGGCGGAUAAUAACGAUAUUCGACGCGGCCCGGUUGCCUUCAUCACGGCCAAUUACAACUGCAAUUAACUGCUUCGCAUUAUAUUACAGCCCUUCACGAGCAGUCGCGUUACCGAAUCUUCAAAUGGCAACCACUUCGAGAUAAUUCCCGGAAUUUCCGCGGGCAAUUUCAGCGGGCGGCCUCGGCAGCCUCGUAAUUAGUUCCUUGUUGCUAACGGAAUUUUAAUCGAUUUUCUCAAAGCACCGCCGCGUAACUUUGAUAUAUUAAUUGCUAUUUAAAAGCCAAUUCCAUCGUGACGCGCUCACACUGUCGCGUCUCGCCGCGCCGCGACGCGUCGCAUCGCAUCGCAUCGUCUCGCGUCGCAAUGCGCCGCGCGCGUUUGUGUGCUUCGAGUGAGAUUAAAACUCCCGGGAAGCCAGAAUUUUUCUUCCACGGGUGCGACUCGUUACGCGUUACUUAUAAACGCGGCGCGUUAAUGCACUUGACAUACCCGACAAGUUUUACACUGCCGAAAUGCGACAGCAGUAGUCGUCGGUGCCCCAACGGAGGUGGAAAUGCACUACCGAAAAAUUAAACUUUCCAAAUUUGAAAUGGAGUAAUACGCUCCAAACAGUCGUAAUCCCGAAACUCGAAUAUCGAGUCAAUUUUCCGAGAAACAAUUCUCCCGAAAUAUUGAAAGAGCAUGCAAUGUCCCGAAAAAAAUCUAUAAAUCUAAUAUUUGUGUAUAAGGUAUGCAAUGUCCCGUAAAACGAUAAUCCCGAAAUUCAAAUAUCGAGAUUUGUAUAACAAUUCUUCCCAAGUUUCGCGAAGUAUACAAUGUCCAAAAAUGUGAAACGUUUAGAUACAUCCAAACUAAUAUUUAACAAACUUAAAGCUAGAGAAGAGCUACCGCCGUUUCGACAUAUUAAUUUUAACCGAAAACUUGUGGGCUUUUGCGCUGUGGUUUCUGCCAAGAGCAUUUUUGGAGACUGCAACGAGUAAUCACGAAGCCACAAGAAGUACUUGCUAAUUUUAAAUUAAACUGUACAUUAUACUGCUCAUGGAAAAUAAAAUAAUUCGGAAAAAAGCGGAAGAUGAUAUUGCAUGUAUAAUUAUCACUUUGCAUUUGUCGCACGCCCUUCCUCGGUCGAUCGAUCGCGCCGCCGUUCUCGGAAACGCGUUGAAUGAGUCCUUUUAACGAGAAUCCGUUUUUCUUUAUCUCUAUGUUUUUGCGGGUCCAAAGUCCUCCACAAACUCCAUUCUAAAACCAACUAAGACCAAGCAAAUUUUUCGAUAGAUUCAGGUCGACUCGCGAUGCGAACUUUCCCAUCGACGAGUUGGAACGAUUCGAGUCGCUCUGUUUUCCUCGCCGGAGACGGUCGCGCCAGUCCGUCGUUACGAUGUUUCUCAGGGUGGUCGAUGUCAAACCAAAUGUAUUUAAGGUAGUGCGCUCGAAAUUCAGAUCAGUGCGUGGCUGGGCACACCGAACGCGAAACUACACGAAUUGAUCCUAUCGAUUUUCUCUGUGGCCACUCUCCUCGAGAAAUUUCCAGCGAGCAAAACUUUCGGCUCCCUCGUGCUUACGUCGGAACGUGAAGAGGAUGCAGUUGGUAUUACACAUCGAUAGUGUGGCGAAGAAAUUAUUGAAUAUUCGUAAGGGGCUGGCUUAAACAAUGGCACUUCUAAUAAAACAAUAGUAUAUAUUUUUGCCUCGCUGCGUAGUCACACAUGUCCUUUUUUCGCACGCUUUCGUUCGCUCUACCGUUACGGAAAAAUACUAUAGGAAUACGAAAAAUUACUGGCAUGCUAUUGAAGAACUACAAUUUUUCAAUAGUGUCAAUAGUUUAUAAAUUCAUGUCAAUAGUUUUUUCGUAUUCUUGUAGGUUUUUUCCAUAAGGUCCCCUACCGGUGCGUCUCUCCACCGCUCGCUUACUACACGAGUUAAAACUGCGCGAAACUUAAAUUCCCUUACAGUAGCAAGUAAUUGAGUGAGACAGUUGAUAUUUUUAAAUAAACCAAUGGCACAAUAGUGUCUGAUUCAUCUAGUGAAACUCGACUUUUAUGAAGUCGAUCAGUUAAUUCAGAGAGAUCAGAAUCCCGGCUAGAAAUAUAUCCCGUGGUCCUAAUUUAAUUGUGUUCCUAAGUAAAUGUUGUUAGCUUCUGAUAAGUCAUAUAACGCAGCAUGUCAAUCAGGAUCUCAUUAAUAAAAGGUAUUAUUAAUAAUUAAGACGUGAUAAUCUCACCUUAUACAAAUCAGAUAACUGGUUCAAAUCUGAUCAGAACCAUGAGAGAAAUUUCUAGCCGGUGUUACACGAAAAGCAAGACGUACUGGUAAUUUUGUAGAGCUUUCUGCUUUAUGCACUAAUCUCAAUAAGAAAAUUAAUACAAUAAUUAAAAUAUAUCUUAACUGAAAAUUAUAAUAUAAUUUAAUGUAUGACAAUUUUAUUAUAAGACGA